UGCUCGAUAGCUCAGAUGGCAGAGCGGCCGGUUGUUACCCGGAUGCGCCCAGGUUCGAGUCCUGGUCGAGCAG
rnacentral:tRNA from 1 species